AAGUCGUAACAAGGUUACCGUAGGUGAACCUGCGGUAGGAUCAUUAAAGAGAUAGGGUUCUUACGAGCCCGACCUCCAACCCUUUGUCUACCAAACCUCUGUUGCCUCGGCGGGUCGCCGGCGCCCCUAACCGGGCGCCGCCGUCGGCCCUGCGCUUUCGAGGACCCGCCGCAGGACUAUACAAAUUCUUUUUAAACAAGUUUAAUCUGAGUGGAUAUUUAAUGCUUCAAUUAAAA
rnacentral:misc_RNA from 1 species